ACCCAUGAAUUCGGUAUGUUUAAAAUACAGUAUAAAGUAGCUCUUCUGGUUGCCGCGGUGCGAGCGGCAAUGAGCAGCAAAGUUUCUCGAGACACCCUGUAGGAGGAGGCGGUGCGGGAGGUCCUACACGGGAACCAGUGUGAGCGCCACAAGUUCCUGGAGAUGGUGGAGCUGCAGAUCAGCCUCAACAACUACGACCCCCAGAAGGACAAGCGUUUCUCGGGCACCGUCAGGCUCAAGUCCACCCUGCGCCCCAAGUUCUCAGUAUGCGUCCUGGGCGACCAGGAGCACUGCGAUGAGGCCAAGGCUGUGGACGUGCCCCACAUGGACAUCGAGGUGCUCAAGAAGCUCCACAAAAACAAGAAACUCGUCAAGAAGCUGGGCAAGAAGCACAACGCCUUUCUGGCCUCGGAGUCCCUGAGCAAACAGAUCUCUCGGAUGCCCAGGCCUCAACAAGGUGGGCAGGUUCCCCUCUUUGUGACACACAGUGAGAACAUGGUGGCCAAAGCCGACGAGGUCAAGUCCACCAUCAAGUUCCAGGUGAAGAAGGUGCUGUGUCUGACUGUGGCUGUUGUCCACGUGAAGAUGACCGACCAAGAGGAGCUUGUGGACAACGUCCACCUGGCUGUCAACUUCCUGGUAUCGCUGCUCAAGAAGAACUGGCAGAAUGUGCAGGCCUUGUACAUAAAGAGCACCAUGGGCAAGCCUCAGCGCCUGUAUUAGGCUGUCCAAUAAACCUGUGUGUGUCUGAAAAAAAAUAAAAUAAAGUAUAAAGUAAA